CCAAGUGUUACGGUUCAUACAAAAAUAUUAAAUCUUCCAUACAAAACGUGUUACGAGAGGGAGGGAGGGGGUCUGAAACUGGCAAAUUUUGCGUUACGUAAUUUAUGAACGGCCCCCAAGUAAUUAUAUACUCAGAAAUAUAAUAAAUCCAAGAAAGGUUUGGAAUUAAGCUGUUUAAUAAUUUUUGAAUGUUAUGUUCCCUCAGUUUAAAAAGUAUACUAUCUAAAGAAUUUGAUUUAAACUAAACUAGAAUAACGUAAUGAUAUUUUCCCUUUGCAUUCUGUCUUGAGGAAAGAAAAAUAUUUUCUGACCACGCGUGUUUAAUCGAGUGUCGCUAGUUUCAAUAAUUUGCUAAUUUAAAAUAGUUAUAUGCUGAAAAAAAAAACUAUAUGGGUUACCAGCAAAGAUCUGCCAUUUCGUAACAUGCAUAAGUUUUAUCGAAGGAUAUUCCACGUCAGCGUCUAAACUACAGAAGAGGCACAAGGACGUUCACCGGGGCAUGAUUUACUGAAGGGCGGUAACUUUCUGAAAACUUUCCAUUACCAUCAGAGAAAACAUCUGGGCAUGAUGAAAAGUAGUCAAUUUAUGUACGCUGAACUUUUGCUUGUGUGCCACAUGCUAAGCGAAUGCAAAAGCAUCAACCGGGAGUCCACAUCGACUUUUCCGUUUUUCCAUCGCGAACAUCUUUUGCGAACCUCGAGAAACUUAUCGAACAUAAUGAUUUUAAAUAAUAUAUUUUAUUGAUUGUUAUAAUUUGGAAAUAAAUAUGUAUUUUAAAAUAUAAUCUGAUUUGUUUAUUUAGUUUUUUUGACGGGCUGAAUAUAACAAAAACAAAGCAAUGCUACAUUUCUUGCAAAGUAUUCUAUGUUUAAUAUUUCAAAGUUAUACUUUACGUAGUAUAAACAAAAGUUAUACUAUGCUCGUAUUGUUGCCAGUUAAACAAGCUUGGGGUCAACCAGGCGAAUAGACAUUUAGUAUGACAUCUAAUCUAUUUAGUAUUAAUAUAUUUCUGAGUGUACUGCGCUGCCAAACGGCUUAAACUCCCUCAUAAAACAUUUGACAGAUGGGAUAUCUGCUGGUACACCGACGAAGUCGGGUGCCGACGAAAUCAACUGUUUUUAUCGCCGACGAAAUCGGGCCUUGACCUUGGUGUCGACGAAACCAACUGUUUUUAUUUACCACCGAUGAAAUCGGGUGUCGUAAAAAUCAACCUUAACACUAGGAUUCAUUCGUUCAGAAAAUCGUUGUAACUAAAUUUUCAAAUGGCUAUAUCUCAGUGGUUUUUCAACCGAUUUUCUCAGUUUUUUCACCAACCUCUUAGCCAUCUCUUCUAGUUUCUGGACAUUCCAAAAUAUUGUAUCUAGGGGUGUUCAAUUUUUCACUAGAGCUGUGGGAGUAAAGCAACGGAUUUAGAAAAAUGCGAUUUUGGAGAUAUACUUAUAUUUUAUUACCAAAAAUGAUAUCUAUUCAUAUAAUGAUGAUGGAAAUGAUAAAAUAACAAAUAAAAGACAUCACCUGGAACAUAAGAACACAUUUUGAGCAUCCCUACUAUGCAUACGAUGAUAAUUCGGUACCUUUAGGAACCACUUUAUACUACACGAUGUAUAAAGCUUCAGAACAUGUUUUCAAGCAUGUUGUCUACUGUGAACUAGUUAAAAUAAAUGUAAACUAUAUACGAAACAUGUGUGAUAAUAAAUUAUUGUUAUGUCCGGAUUACUUCCAGAAUAAAAUGGACUUGACUUUUCUUAAAAAGAACUAUCUUUAUUGGAAGUCAAAUCAAUACUGCAUAAGAAUGACAUAUUGGUUUUCUUUUUAUAGUAGAGCAAAGGUAACUUAGAUAAAAAAUUAUAAUCCAUUGAUUACUACGAUCCAACAUUUCCCCCCUUACGGCUUCAUCAUCCAAUAGGGCUUGAACCGGGCUGGUAGUUGAAUCACUCGUCGUCCUCUUUCUAUGAUUGGUGUCACAGGAUGUACUGCUUCUGCUAAUUCAUUCUGGGUUUCUUCAACGGUUUCAUCUCCAUUAUCUGACAAGUCAUCUGUUAGAUAGGAGUCGUCAGGAAUAUCUUCUGAUGGUUCUGGUGGUUCUCCAAUCUGGUGGUGUUCUUCAAGCUGAGGUUGCUCUUCAAGCUGAGGUUGCUCUUCAAGCUGAUGUGGUUCAAUUUCUUCCGGAAUUGAUAGCCCGAAAUUGUCAUAGAAAAUUGAUAGUGGAUUUUGUUGAAAUUGCAGGGAUUCUUCUGAAACACGAGCCUUCAUUUGGUUGACAUGUGAACGAAUCAGACGAUGUUGAUUUUCCAGGAACACGUUAUAGUUGACAGUGCCGAUCUUCUCUAUCACGGUUGCAGGUUGCCACUGCCAGGAGUUCAAACGAUGAAUCUUGACGUAGACAGUAUCUCCUUGAUGGAACCCUCU